GAUGAACGCUAGCUACAGGCUUAACACAUGCAAGUCGAGGGACCGGCGCACGGGUGAGUACAACGUAUCCAACCUGCCCUUUACUCGGGGAUAGCCUUUCGAAAGAAAGAUUAAUACCCGAUAUAAAGGAUGGGGAUGCGUUCCAUUAGGUUGUUGGUGAGGUAACGGCUAACCAAGCCUUCGAUGGAUAGGGGUUCUGAGAGGAAGGUACCCCAGAUUGGAACUGAGACACGGGCCACAAUCCGACGGGAGGCAGGAGUGAGGAAUAUUGGGCAAUGGGCGCUAGCCUGAAACAGCCAAGUAGCGUGAAGGAUGAAGGCUUAUGGGUCGUAAACUUCGUGUAGAUAAGAAUAUGUAUUAUAUGAAUAAGGAUCGGCUAACUCCGUGCCAGCAGCCGCGGGAAUUC
rnacentral:rRNA from 1 species